CACACGACUCUCGGCAACGGAUAUCUCGGCUCUCGCAUCGAUGAAGACGUAGCGAAAUGCGAUACCUGGUGUGAAUUGCAGAAUCCCGCGAACCAUCGAGUCUUUGAACGCAAGUUGCGCCCGAGGCCCUCGGGCCGAGGGCACGCCUGCCUGGGCGUCACGC
rnacentral:rRNA from 1 species